GAUGAACGCUGGCGGCGUGCCUAAUACAUGCAAGUCGAGCGAACGGACGAGAAGCUUGCUUCUCUGAUGUUAGCGGCGGACGGGUGAGUAACACGUGGAUAACCUACCUAUAAGACUGGGAUAACUUCGGGAAACCGGAGCUAAUACCGGAUAAUAUUUUGAACCGCAUGGUUCAAAAGUGAAAGACGGUCUUGCUGUCACUUAUAGAUGGAUCCGCGCUGCAUUAGCUAGUUGGUAAGGUAACGGCUUACCAAGGCAACGAUGCAUAGCCGACCUGAGAGGGUGAUCGGCCACACUGGAACUGAGACACGGUCCAGACUCCUACGGGAGGCAGCAGUAGGGAAUCUUCCGCAAUGGGCGAAAGCCUGACGGAGCAACGCCGCGUGAGUGAUGAAGGUCUUCGGAUCGUAAAACUCUGUUAUUAGGGAAGAACAUAUGUGUAAGUAACUGUGCACAUCUUGACGGUACCUAAUCAGAAAGCCACGGCUAACUACGUGCCAGCAGCCGCGGUAAUACGUAGGUGGCAAGCGUUAUCCGGAAUUAUUGGGCGUAAAGCGCGCGUAGGCGGUUUUUUAGGUCUGAUGUGAAAGCCCACGGCUCAACCGUGGAGGGUCAUUGGAAACUGGAAAACUUGAGUGCAGAAGAGGAAAGUGGAAUUCCAUGUGUAGCGGUGAAAUGCGCAGAGAUAUGGAGGAACACCAGUGGCGAAGGCGACUUUCUGGUCUGUAACUGACGCUGAUGUGCGAAAGCGUGGGGAUCAAACAGGAUUAGAUACCCUGGUAGUCCACGCCGUAAACGAUGAGUGCUAAGUGUUAGGGGGUUUCCGCCCCUUAGUGCUGCAGCUAACGCAUUAAGCACUCCGCCUGGGGAGUACGACCGCAAGGUUGAAACUCAAAGGAAUUGGCGGGGACCCGCACAAGCGGUGGAGCAUGUGGUUUAAUUCGAAGCAACGCGAAGAACCUUACCAAAUCUUGACAUCCUUUGACAACUCUAGAGAUAGAGCCUUCCCCUUCGGGGGACAAAGUGACAGGUGGUGCAUGGUUGUCGUCAGCUCGUGUCGUGAGAUGUUGGGUUAAGUCCCGCAACGAGCGCAACCCUUAAGCUUAGUUGCCAUCAUUAAGUUGGGCACUCUAAGUUGACUGCCGGUGACAAACCGGAGGAAGGUGGGGAUGACGUCAAAUCAUCAUGCCCCUUAUGAUUUGGGCUACACACGUGCUACAAUGGACAAUACAAAGGGCAGCGAAACCGCGAGGUCAAGCAAAUCCCAUAAAGUUGUUCUCAGUUCGGAUUGUAGUCUGCAACUCGACUACAUGAAGCUGGAAUCGCUAGUAAUCGUAGAUCAGCAUGCUACGGUGAAUACGUUCCCGGGUCU
rnacentral:rRNA from 1 species